UACGGGGGGGGCGAGCGUUGUUCGGAAUUACUGGGCGUAAAGGGCUCGCAGGCGGCCCGCUAAGUCAGACGUGAAAUCCCUCGGCUCAACCGGGGAACUGCGUCUGAGACUGGCGGGCUCGAAUCCGGGAGAGGGAUGCGGAAUUCCAGGUGUAGCGGUGAAAUGCGUAGAUAUCUGGAGGAACACCGGUGGCGAAGGCGGCAUCCUGGACCGGUAUUGACGCUGAGGAGCGAAAGCCAGGGGAGCAAAC
rnacentral:rRNA from 1 species